rnacentral:sRNA from 1 species
GUCGAGCACGGUGGCACAUGCCUGUAAUCCCAGGGUUUUGGGAGACUGAGGCAGGAGAAUCGCAAGUGCAAAGCCAGCCUCAGCAAUUUAGUGAGACCCUAUCUCAA